CCUUUAUUUAUCCUUGUUGUUUGACCUGCAAACUCACAUUGAUUUGAUUGAGAAAUCAGUUUUCCUGCUGUAGGAAAGAAAUGUACAUAAAUAAUCUACCCUGUAAAGUGUUUUAAAACUGUUAUACUGUCAAUAGGGCUGCCAACUCUGAACCCAAAGAGUUCUGGAAAGAUAUCACGGGCCAAGUUACUGCCGUGCAGCAAGGAGUGGAAAGGGUGAUGAAUCUGCUCCUGAGUCUCUCCACCUGCAACAGUGGACAGGAAUUAGGACAGAUUGACACAACUGUUUGUGGCAAAAAUCAACUUCAAAACAUCAAGUCAUCUGCUACAACUGUAUGUGAAUGGCUGUGCAGUGUGUCAAAUAGAAUAGAGAGUGAUGUAGUGCCCCCUGGUGGUCUGUAGGUCUGCUCCCUUUAUACAGAUACAUGGAUAGAUGAGAAUGCAAGUUUGUGUAACCGUGCUGGACAUGAGCCAAGUCCUUGCCAGUGACAGGGUUUCAGUGACCUUUAGGGAGCUAAAUUGGAGCUCUCCAUCAUUUUUUAGCUUGUAGUGUUCUGUUUGUCCCAGAGCAAUGUUAGCUUGUCCUCUGUCCCCUCAUCUGUCUGUACUUUGGAGAUUUAUCUGAGUCAUAGAGCAGUGUGUCUGGAAAGGUGUCAGGGAAAAGUUAAGAUUUCUUGUCAUUUUUCUUGUCAUUCUGUCAAACAGUUGUUUUUUUUUAAAUUGAAGAUGAAUUUGGCAGGUAAAACCCAUUAAAUCCAUUACUUAUCGAAGAGUUGCCUAUAUUGGGAACAGAAAUCGCAUCCAUUUAUAUGUGCUAUUCCACUAGAUGCGCCUCUGUAUCAUUCAGUAACACACUGCUAAACCAUUUGCAGCCAUACUGAAGAAAUCAUUGCUCAGUAGUGCUUCAGUAACACUAAUGCUGUUUAGUGGCUCUUUAAUAUGAAACAGAAAUAUUUUCCCUCUCAUAACCUGAUAAGUAGGUCUCACAGCCAAGAAUAUCAAAAGCAUUUUGAAACUGUAUUCAUCUUCGUUCCACAGUGACAGUGAAGAUAAAUAGUGUCAAAAUGUUUUUUGACAAACCUUAGUAACUAAAAUAUUGCAGGCAGAAGCACAAACAUGCCACAGCGCCUCUGUGUCCUUAUUAAUGUUCCUUUUUGUCACCUUUUCUCUUUCCCACUUUUUCCUUACUCCCCUUGUUUCUCCC